AGAGUUUGAUCCUGGCUCAGGACGAACGCUGGCGGCGUGCUUAACACAUGCAAGUCGAACGGAAAGGCCCUGCUUUUGUGGGGUGCUCGAGUGGCGAACGGGUGAGUAACACGUGAGUAACCUGCCCUUGACUUUGGGAUAACUUCAGGAAACUGGGGCUAAUACCGGAUAGGAGCUCCUGCUGCAUGGUGGGGGUUGGAAAGUUUCGGCGGUUGGGGAUGGACUCGCGGCUUAUCAGCUUGUUGGUGGGGUAGUGGCUUACCAAGGCUUUGACGGGUAGCCGGCCUGAGAGGGUGACCGGCCACAUUGGGACUGAGAUACGGCCCAGACUCCUACGGGAGGCAGCAGUGGGGAAUAUUGCACAAUGGGCGGAAGCCUGAUGCAGCAACGCCGCGUGCGGGAUGACGGCCUUCGGGUUGUAAACCGCUUUCGCCUGUGACGAAGCGUGAGUGACGGUAAUGGGUAAAGAAGCACCGGCUAACUACGUGCCAGCAGCCGCGGUGAUACGUAGGGUGCGAGCGUUGUCCGGAUUUAUUGGGCGUAAAGGGCUCGUAGGUGGUUGAUCGCGUCGGAAGUGUAAUCUUGGGGCUUAACCCUGAGCGUGCUUUCGAUACGGGUUGACUUGAGGAAGGUAGGGGAGAAUGGAAUUCCUGGUGGAGCGGUGGAAUGCGCAGAUAUCAGGAGGAACACCAGUGGCGAAGGCGGUUCUCUGGGCCUUUCCUGACGCUGAGGAGCGAAAGCGUGGGGAGCGAACAGGCUUAGAUACCCUGGUAGUCCACGCUGKWAACGGUGGGUACUAGGUGUGGGGUCCAUUCCACGGGUUCCGUGCCGUAGCUAACGCUUUAAGUACCCCGCC
rnacentral:rRNA from 1 species